CCCGCCGGUGACCCGGCCGACUACCCAAGAACCCGGGGAGAGAACCCACCCACCUACCGCCGCCCAACUCCUCACCCCAUUGGGUGACUUGGGCGCGAGGGCGUCCGGAAUGCGGUUACGCUCGCGGCAGCUCGACCACAACUGCACAUGGAACGGCCCUCGGCGGGACGGCAAUCCCAACCCGAGGGCCUGAUCACAAGGAAGAAAAGGCCUUCCCG
rnacentral:ncRNA from 1 species